rnacentral:rRNA from 1 species
UACGUAGGGUCCGAGCGUUGUCCGGAAUUAUUGGGCGUAAAGGGCUCGUAGGCGGUCUGUCGCGUCGGAUGUGAAAAACCCAGGGCUCAACCCUGGGCCUGCAUUUCGAUACGGGCAGACUAGAGUACGGCAGGGGAGACUGGAAUUCUGGUGUAGCGGUGAAAUGCGCAGAUAUCAGGAGGAACACCGGUGGCGAAGGCGGGCUCUGGGCCGAAACUGACGCUGAGGACGAAAGCGUGGGGAGCGAACAGG